AUAUGAUUUGAUACAACCCCAAUUUACUCCUCCCAAGUGUGUCAGGAUGUACUUAGACAAGUUGUCAAUAUGACCUGUGCCACCUGGACAAGUUUCCUGUUCAUUUUUUGUGCUUGAAUAAAGUUAUUCUGACUGACAGGAGCCUGUUGCCAAGACAACCACGGUAAAAAGAGAGAGGAAAAAAAAGCAUACUGAGACCUCCUUCAUCUCUCAAAGAGAAAAAGAUAAGCUUUUACUCAGUUGAGCCUAUUCCAUUUUGUAUUUCAUUUCUGCGGCAUGGAAAUAGGUGGAAGCAGUCAUUUUCAUUUCAGAUAAUUGGAUUCCCUGGAAAUGGAUUUUCUGCUAAAACUCUGCUUAAAAAUUAAAAAAAAUGUGAGAGAAUUUUGUUUGCUAUUUAAUUUGUUCUAAAGUGAUAACAAUGACAAGGCAUUGACGUCACUCAGUAAGUCGUACACUAAGAUAUUAAACUGAACACUUGUUCAAUAGGUUGACGUCAGCAUAUGUCAACUUACUCUGACUUUACACUGAUGUUAUGAUUCUAACAGACUCUGAUUGAAUGAUUGACCGUCUUCUAAUUAGACUAUUGGAGGUGUCAUGGCUCCAGCUGUGACUCCGGGUUUUCCUUGCGUUCCCCUGUGUUUUUCCCUGUCUCCUCCUCCCCUGUUUGUAUGUGUGUGUAUGUAUGUUUUGUGGACGCAGCUACCUCUCCUGGCACCUGGUUCAGCCUCACACCUGGCUCCAAUCUACUCAUCAACUCUCAGCUCAAUUACCUCAGCUCUGUGAGCCACUCAUUGCCAGAUUGUUCCGUCCUACUCAGAGGACUGUGCCGACGUCUUCGCCCUGCCAUCAUCCACACGACGCCUCAGCUCAAUCUCCAACCUCACCAGCCUGUCUUCAUCAGCCCUGCUAAACCACUUCAUCUUACCAUCAUUGUUCGUUAAACCUUUUACUUAACUGCACCCUCUGUGUCUGCUCCUGGGUCUGCCAAAACAAAACGCAACAGGA